UAUCUUAGAAAAAAACAAACUUAAACCCAUUCUACCCUUACUGUCAUUUGCUCAACCAAAACCCUAGCCUCCAUUCCCCUUCUACUCGCAGCCAUUCAGUUCAGCCACAGACGCAACAAACCCCUCCAGCCGCACCACUCCGGCCUCCGCCACAAACCCGCCACCGUCUCCAUGUCUCUGUCAUCUCCUCCGCCACAAACCCCCACCCUCCGUCGGCAUCUUCGUCAGCGACGACAUCUUUUCCGGUGAAGUGCACAAAUGAGGAGGAAAUUGUUGCUGUGAUUGCUCAUGAACUCGGUCACUGGAAACGGAAUCACACAAUAUACUCCUCUGUUGGUGUUUAGGCUGGUAGAGUCCAAAUGGGUUUUGUUUCAUCUCACUGGAAGUUAGAUCUUAUGGUUAACUUUGAGGAAAUAUGCUUUUGACUUUGACCACUUUCGUACUUUGUAGAUACUUAUACUUUUGCUGUUUGGAGGUUAUACACUUGUAAAGAACUCAAAUGAUCUAUUCAUGAGUUUUGGAUUCGAUACUCAACCAGUACUCAUUGAGUUCAUAUUAUUUCAGGUACACCAUACACUUCAAUUUAUAAUAGUAUGAAUCAACAUGUGUGAUUUAAGUCUGUAUUUGGGAUGUGUACAUCUACUUGAUGUAUCCUGAGUUGUUGACCCGAAAUACUGUGGGUACGUGAACUAUGAUCUUGACAAAGAACAAACUGAUACAUCACAACUGAAGUUAAAUGGACACGUGGAAUUGGUAUUACGGCAGAGAUGCUUGGUUAGCUCACCAAUGGCCUUGAAUUCGCUUGGAACAAACUCAAGGGCGAAGUUGGUAUACCUGAUGCUCCGGUCAAUGUUGGUGACAAGACAAACAAAGAUAAAAGAAGUUACGAAGAUUAUCAAGUUAUAUUUGAAGGAAAAAAUCUUAGUUCCAGUUGGUCCUAGCUUAGGGGCUCGGUAUCGAUUUCGAGAUAAAUCGUGACUUUAAGUUAAAAUUAUUGUUAUCACUUUGACACCAUUGGUGGUGACUGAACAGAGGGUUUGUGAUUUAUAUAUUUUUUAGCUUAAAAUAUCCAAAUUUUAAUAAAAUUGCUUGGAAAGAUGUGGUUAUAGAACCACAUCUCUUGGACUA